GUGCUCGCUUCAGCAGCACAUAUACUAAAAUUGGAAAAACGAUACAGAGAAGAUUAGCAUGGCCCCUGCACAGGGAUGACACUCAAAUUCGUGAAACGUUCCAUAAAACA
rnacentral:snRNA from 1 species